CGCGACAAACUUGGAAAAUUAGAUCUUGAGUUUGGUACGUCCAAAAAUGGAAAAUUUAUACCAUUGGAAACUAGAUUAAAAGUACUAAAACUUCCCAGAAGACACUUUUCCAAGAUUCCAAUUAAAAAGCAUUCAAAUUUCAGUUCAAAGUUACAGUUCCAAGAAGACAGGACAGAACCAGUCUUGGUUUUUCAGCAAUGUUUGAAAAUUCGGUAA
rnacentral:lncRNA from 1 species